rnacentral:rRNA from 1 species
ACAUGCAGUCGAGCGAGANCUUCGGGUCUAGCGGCGGANGGGUUAGUAACGCNNNNNNAUGUACCCUUCACUACGGAAUAGUCCCGGGAAACUGGGUUUAAUACCGUAUACGCCCUUCGGGGGAAAGAUUUAUCGGUGAAGGAUCAGCCCGCGUCUGAUUAGAUAGUUGGUGGGGUAAUGGCCUACCAAGUCUACGAUCAGUAGCUGGUUUGAGAGGAUGAUCAGCAACACUGGGACUGAGACACGGCCCAGACUCCUACGGGAGGCAGCAGUGGGGAAUCUUAGACAAUGGGCGCAAGCCUGAUCUAGCCAUGCCGCGUGAGUGAUGAAGGCCUUAGGGUCGUAAAGCUCUUUCGCUGGGGAAGAUAAUGACGGUACCCAGUAAAGAAACCCCGGCUAACUCCGUGCCAGCAGCCGCGGUAAUACGGAGGGGGUUAGCGUUGUUCGGAAUUACUGGGCGUAAAGCGCGCGUAGGCGGAUUGGAAAGUUGGGGGUGAAAUCCCGGGGCUCAACCCCGGAACGGCCUCCAAAACUAUCAGUCUAGAGGUCGAGAGAGGUGAGUGGAAUUCCGAGUGUAGAGGUGAAAUUCGUAGAUNUUCNGAGGAACACCAGUGGCGAAGGCGGCUCANUGGNUCGAUNCUGA